CAGCAGCCGCGGUAAUACGUAGGGUCCGAGCGUUGUCCGGAAUUAUUGGGCGUAAAGAGCUCGUAGGCGGUCUGUCGCGUCUGCCGUGAAAUCCUCAGGCUCAACCUGAGGCGUGCGGUGGGUACGGGCAGGCUAGAGUGCGGUAGGGGAGAAUGGAACUCCUGGUGUAGCGGUGGAAUGCGCAGAUAUCAGGAAGAACACCGAUGGCGAAGGCAGUUCUCUGGGCCGUAACUGACGCUGAGGAGCGAAAGCGUGGGGAGCGAACAGGAUUAGAUACCCCAGUAGUCCCUGUCUCUUAUAC
rnacentral:rRNA from 1 species